UACGAAGGGGGCGAGCGUUGUUCGGAAUUACUGGGCGUAAAGCGCACGUAGGCGGAUCGUUAAGUCGGGGGUGAAAUCCUGGAGCUCAACUCCAGAACUGCCUUCGAUACUGGCGAUCUUGAGUCCGGAAGAGGUGAGUGGAACUCCUAGUGUAGAGGUGGAAUUCGUAGAUAUUAGGAAGAACACCAGUGGCGAAGGCGGCUCACUGGUCCGGUACUGACGCUGAGGUGCGAAAGCGUGGGGAGCAAACAGG
rnacentral:rRNA from 1 species